rnacentral:rRNA from 1 species
CAGCCGCGGUAACACCGGCAGCUCUAGUGGUAGCUGUUUAUUGGGCCUAAAGCGUCGUAGCCGGUUUAAUAAGUCUCUGGUGAAAUCCUAUAGCUUAACUGUGGGAAUUGCUGGAGAUACUAUUAGGCUUGAGAUCGGGAGAGGUCAGAGGUACUCCUGGGGUAGGGGUGAAAUCCUGUAAUCCUAGGAGGACCGCCUGUGGCGAAGGCGUCUGACUAGAACGAAUCUGACGGUGAGGAACGAAAGCUAGGGGCGCGAACCGGAUUAGAUACCCGGGUAGUCCUAGCCGUAAACUAUGCGGACUUGGUGUGAGGGUGGCUUUAAGCCGUCCUGGUGCCGAAGGGAAGCUGUUAAGUCCGCCGCCUGGGAAGUACGGUCGCAAGACUGAAACUUAAAGGAAUUGGCGGGGAGCACCACAACGCGUGAAGCCUGCGGUUUAAUUGGAUUCAACGCCGGAGAUCUCACCAGCGGCGACAGCAGUAUGAUGACCAGGUUGAUGACUUUGUUUGACAAGCUGAGAAGUGGUGCAUGG